UACGUAGGGGGCAAGCGUUUUCCGGAUUUAUUGGGCGUAAAGAGCGUGUAGGCGGCAAUACAGGUCCGUUGUGAAAACUCGAGGCUCAACCUCGAGACGUCGAUGGAAACCGUAUGGCUAGAGUCCGGAAGAGGAGAGUGGAAUUCCUGGUGUAGCGGUGAAAUGCGCAGAUAUCAGGAAGAACACCCGUGGCGAAGGCGGCUCUCUGGGACGGUACUGACGCUGAGACGCGAAAGCGUGGGGAGCGAACAGG
rnacentral:rRNA from 1 species